UGGGGAAUUUUGCGCAAUGGGGGAAACCCGUGACGCAGCAACGCCGCGUGCGGGACGAAGGCCCUCGGGUUGUAAACCGCUUUCAGCAGGGAAGACUUUACGACGGUACCUGCAGAAGAAGCUCCGGCUAACUACGUGCC
rnacentral:rRNA from 1 species